AUCUUGAUAAUGAUCUGGUCUCUUUUAUGUAUCUGAGAAAUGCCCUUCUUCUUAUCAUACCAAAUCUAAAGGCAUUCAUCUCCAUUUCCUUGGAGCUCUCUUUUAAUCCAUCUCUCCUUUCCACCCAGUGCCUGCAGUCAAGAGAGUGCAGGAAAGGCGAGGAGGGUCCCAGCUGCCCUGUUACUGCUUCUUAUAGCAACUCCCGAGGCAAUUACAUUCACCCCUUUCUAAAAUUCUCAAGCACCAAGUUUCGAGGAGCCCUUUUUGACCACCCUCAACCAGUCUCAAUCACACUAUUCAUCACUGACGGAAAGUCUCAUGUACAUCAGAGAGAAGACAGCUCAACUAGACCAGAAGGCCAGGGGACCCACUGCCAAGCUAAGGAGUUUGGCUGACAGUUUGAAGUGGUAAAGCCCAAAAUCAGUGCCAAGGCGGGGG
rnacentral:lncRNA from 1 species